rnacentral:RNase_P_RNA from 1 species
CCAGUUGGCCGGGCAGCCGCGCUUUACCAAUGUCGAAAGACGGUAGGGUGAGGAAAGUCCGGGCUCCACGGAAACACGGUGCCGGAUAACGUCCGGCGGGGGCGACCCCAGGGAAAGUGCCACAGAAAGGAUACCGCCCGGCUCCGGCCGGGUAAGGGUGAAAGGGUGGGGUAAGAGCCCACCGCGCUUCUGGUAACAGCGGCGGCAUGGUAAACCCCACCGGGAGCAAGACCGAAUAGGGAUGACGCGGGUUCCGUCGCAAGGCGGAGCUACAGCCGGUUUUCGGGCCAGUCAUCCGGGUGGGUUGCGUGAGGCGACGUGCAAACGGCGUCCCAGAUGAAUGGCUGCCACGUUCCGGUGUUCGCAUCGGGGCCAUACAGAACCCGGCUUACAGGCCAACUGGUAUU